rnacentral:rRNA from 1 species
UACGGGGGGGGCAAGCGUUGUUCGGAAUUACUGGGCGUAAAGGGCUCGUAGGCGGCCAACUAAGUCAGACGUGAAAUCCCUCGGCUUAACCGGGGAACUGCGUCUGAUACUGGAUGGCUUGAGUUUGGGAGAGGGAUGCGGAAUUCCAGGUGUAGCGGUGAAAUGCGUAGAGAUCAGGAAGAACACCGGUGGCGAAAGCGCUCUGCUAGGCCGCAACUGACACUGAGGGACGAAAGCUAGGGGAGCGAAUGGG